rnacentral:rRNA from 1 species
GGAGGUAUCAGAAGUGCGAAUGCUGACAUAAGUAACGAUAAAGCGGGUGAAAAGCCCGCUCGCCGGAAGACCAAGGGUUCCUGUCCAACGUUAAUCGGGGCAGGGUGAGUCGACCCCUAAGGCGAGGCCGAAAGGCGUAGUCGAUGGGAAACAGGUUAAUAUUCCUGUACUUGGUGUUACUGCGAAGGGGGGACGGAGAAGGCUAUGUUGGCCGGGCGACGGUUGUCCCGGUUUAAGCGUGUAGGCUGGUUUUCCAGGCAAAUCCGGAAAACCAAGGCUGAGGCGUGAUGACGAGGCACUACGGUGCUGAAGCGACAAAUGCCCUGCUUCCAGGAAAAGCCUCUAAGCAUCAGGUAACAUCAAAUCGUACCCCAAACCGACACAGGUGGUCAGGUAGAGAAUACCAAGGCGCUUGAGAGAACUCGGGUGAAGGAACUAGGCAAAAUGGUGCCGUAACUUCGGGAGAAGGCACGCUGAUAUGUAGGUGAAGCGACUUGCUCGUGGAGCUGAAAUCAGUCGAAGAUACCAGCUGGCUGCAACUGUUUAUUAAAAACACAGCACUGUGCAAACACGAAAGUGGACGUAUACGGUGUGACGCCUGCCCGGUGCCGGAAG